UACGUAGGAGGCAAGCGUUGUCCGGAAUUACUGGGCGUAAAGCGCGUGUAGGUGGUGUGCCAAGUCUGCUGUGAAAGCGCCUGGCUUAACCGGGCGAGGUCGGCGGAAACUGUUCGACUCGAGGACGGUAGAGGGGGGUGGAAUUCCCGGUGUAGUGGUGAAAUGCGUAGAGAUCGGGAGGAACACCUGUGGCGAAGGCGGCCCCCUGGGCCGGCCCUGACACUGAGACGCGAAGGCGUGGGGAGCGAACGGG
rnacentral:rRNA from 1 species